rnacentral:misc_RNA from 1 species
AAAGCUCAGAAAGAGCAUGAUCACAAAUUUUCUCAAGACAAGGAUUUCCUAAAGAAAACAAAACAAGAUGUCAUUCAAUUCAAAGUAACCAGCAAUUGGAAACAAGUUUUCUCUUUUAAACAUAUUCAAAUGACAAAGAAUAAGAUUGUACUAGUUCAGCUAUGAAAAAAUUCACCUAAAGCACGAAUUAAGCUUCUGAUCUGAUGCAAACUCUAAAACCUUUGGAUCAGAAUUUAGAAUUCAACUUUCCCAGAAUAUUUUCUGAAUGUGCAGAAAUUAUGGAAUCCAAAAACAGCAAAUUCUUGAUACCACCACCAGCAUCCAUCAAAGAAGAACAUCACAAAUCUUUAUACUAAAUUAAACUCGAGGCAAAAAAUAAACGAACAACAACAUACACACCUCGGAAACAUUCCUGGAAGAGG